ensembl:rRNA 5S_rRNA 5S ribosomal RNA
UCUAGCAGCCAUAUCACCCUGUAACUCACAACUGGCAACCCACUGAAGCUCAGCAGGUGUGAGCCUGGUCAGUACCUGGAUGGGAGACCUCCUGGGAAAAACUAAGGUUGCUGCUGGAA